UGAUGAGCUAGUCCGGGUAGCCCGGCGUUACCUGUAACCCGAAAUCGCCGAUAUGCGGGGGACGAAGCCAAUGGAAGGUGCGACAGAGAGGUUCCAGCCUGGGAUCUCAACUGAGAAGCCCCGUCCUGCUUGGAUGAUGCUGACAUGAGGGCUUGCUGGAGAGCAGGUCCUCAUCCUUAACUGCGGAAACCGGUCGAGGCCCGGAAGGGAGCAGACUUACCGUGGGCAGUCGUCGCUUGUGGGGUCGCGGGGUGGAGAAGAGGUGCCAGUCUACUGGGAUUUCCGAGAUGCAUCAACCUGCAGCGUGCUCAUCA
rnacentral:SRP_RNA from 1 species